GACGAACGCUGGCGGCGUGCCUAAUACAUGCCAGUCGAACGCACUCUCGUUUAGAUUGAAGGAGUUUGCUCCUGAUUGAUAAACAUUUGAGUGAGUGGCGGACGGGUGAGUAACACGUGGGUAACCUGCCCUAAAGUGGGGGAUAACAUUUGGAAACAGAUGCUAAUACCGCAUAAAACCUAACACCGCAUGGUGUAGGGUUGAAAGAUGGUUUCGGCUAUCACUUUAGGAUGGACCCGCGGUGCAUUAGUUAGUUGGUGAGGUAAAGGCUCACCAAGACCGUGAUGCAUAGCCGACCUGAGAGGGUAAUCGGCCACACUGGGACUGAGACACGGCCCAGACUCCUACGGGAGGCAGCAGUAGGGAAUCUUCCACAAUGGACGAAAGUCUGAUGGAGCAACGCCGCGUGAGUGAAGAAGGUUUUCGGAUCGUAAAACUCUGUUGUUGGAGAAGAAUGUAUCUGAUAGUAACUGAUCAGGUAGUGACGGUAUCCAACCAGAAAGCCACGGCUAACUACGUG
rnacentral:rRNA from 1 species